rnacentral:rRNA from 1 species
AGAGUUUGAUCCUGGCUCAGGAUGAACGCUGGCGGCGUGCCUAACACAUGCAAGUCGAGCGGGAAAUUAAUGAUUGAGUCUUCGGACGAUUGAAUUAAUGGAUAGCGGCGGACGGGUGAGUAACGCGUAGGUAAGCUGCCCUAUGCACAGGGAUAGCCUCGGGAAACUGGGAUUAAUACCUGAUGAUGCGGUGGAGUCACAUGGCUCUAUCGCCAAAGAUUUAUCGGCAUAGGAUGCACCUGCGUCUGAUUAGCUAGUUGGUGAGGUAACGGCCCACCAAGGCGACGAUCAGUAACCGACCUGAGAGGGUAAACGGUCACAUUGGAACUGAGACACGGUCCAAACUCCUACGGGAGGCAGCAGUGGGGAAUAUUGCACAAUGGGGGAAACCCUGAUGCAGCAACGCCGCGUGAGCGAUGAAGGUCUUCGGAUUGUAAAGCUCUGUCCUAUGGGACGAAACAAAUGACGGUACCAUGGGAGGAAGCCCCGGCUAACUACGUGCCAGCAGCCGCGGUAAUACGUAGGGGGCGAGCGUUAUCCGGAAUUAUUGGGCGUAAAGAGUACGUAGGUGGUUUUGUAAGCGUUGGGUGAAAGGCAAAGGCUUAACCUUUGUUAGCCCUUCGAACUGCAAGACUUGAGUGCAGGAGGGGAAAGUGGAAUUCCUGGUGUAGCGGUGAAAUGCGUAGAUAUCAGGAGGAACACCGGUGGCGAAGGCGACUUUCUGGACUGUAACUGACACUGAGGUACGAAAGCGUGGGGAGCAAACAGGAUUAGAUACCCUGGUAGUCCACGCUGUAAACGAUGAGCACUAGAUGUCUGCGUAGCAAUACGUAGGUGUCGAAGUUAACGCAUUAAGUGCUCCGCCUGGGGAGUACGCACGCAAGUGUGAAACUCAAAGGAAUUGACGG